GUCUUCAGAUGGCUGCGGGGAGUCUAUCUCGAACCUGUUCAGUUGCAAGCUGGCCACACUGCCAAGCGCAGCAGCCUGCAGGCGCCGCCGCUCUGUGGGGCGUGCUGCUUCCCCGGCGCGCCGCGUUUCGCGCGGAAGCGUGCUCGACUCCCACUCACUUGUCUAGAAAGCUAGCAUCACCACAGUUGAGGACAGAAAGCAAUAAAGACUGCGCCAACACAAUCUUCGUAGGAAUGGGUAAACUGUUGCGCAGCCGCCGUAACGAUGAAGAAGCAUAAAGGAUCGUACGACUUUAUUGCUUAACUUGUUCAUUCCAGGAUAAGGUUUUGGUCCAGAUGAA